rnacentral:rRNA from 1 species
GUACUGAGACCGGCGUCGGGUGCGUUAACGCGUAUACAAUCUGCCUUUCACUGGGGGAUAGCCCGAAGAAAUUUGGAUUAAUACCCCAUAGUAUAGUAGUGUGGCAUAACACAACUAUUAAAGCCUUGGUGGUGAAAGAUGAGUAUGCGUUCUAUUAGCUAGUUGGAGAGGUAACGGCUCCCCAAGGCUACGAUAGAUAGGGGUUCUGAGAGGGAUGUCCCCCACACUGGUACUGAGAUACGGACCAGACUCCUACGGGAGGCAGCAGUGAGGAAUAUUGGACAAUGGUCGGAAGACUGAUCCAGCCAUGCCGCGUGCAGGAUGAAGGUCUUAUGGAUUGUAAACUGCUUUUGUAAGGGAAGAAUAAGGAGUACGUGUACUUUGAUGACGGUACCUUAUGAAUAAGCAUCGGCUAACUCCGUGCCAGCAGCCGCGGUAAUACGGAGGAUGCGAGCGUUAUCCGGAAUCAUUGGGUUUAAAGGGUCUGUAGGCGGGCUGGUAAGUCAGAGGUGAAAGCGCUUAGCUCAACUAAGCAACUGCCUUUGAAACUGUUGGUCUUGAAUGGUUGUGAAGUAGUUGGAAUGUGUAGUGUAGCGGUGAAAUGCUUAGAUAUUACACAGAACACCGAUAGCGAAGGCAUAUUACUAACAAUUAAUUGACGCUGAUGGACGAAAGCGUGGGGAGCGAACAGGAUUAGAUACCCUGGUAGUCCACGCUGUAAACGAUGGAUACUAGCUGUUUGGAGUAAUCUGAGUGGCUAAGCGAAAGUGAUAAGUA